UACGAAGGGGGCUAGCGUUGUUCGGAUUCAUUGGGCGUAAAGGGUGCGUAGGCGGUCGCGCAAGUCGGAUGUGAAAUCUCAGGGCUCAACCCUGAAACUGCAUUCGAUACUGCGUGGCUAGAGUGCUGGAGAGGAGACUGGAAUUUACGGUGUAGCAGUGAAAUGCGUAGAUAUCGUAAGGAAGACCAGUGGCGAAGGCGAGUCUCUGGACAGCAACUGACGCUGAGGCACGAAGGCCAGGGGAGCAAACGGG
rnacentral:rRNA from 1 species